rnacentral:lncRNA from 10 species
AAAAAAUUAGUUGGGUGUGGUGGUACAUGCCUUGUUGUCCCAGCUACUGGGGAGGCUGAGUUGGGAGGCUUGCUUGAGCCUGAGAGGUGGAGGCCACAGUGAGCUGUGAUCAUGCCGCUAUACUCCAGCCUUGGCAACAAAGUGAGACCCUGUGUAUUUGUUUUUGUUUUUCUUUGUGACAGAGUCUCCCUCUGUCACCCAGGCUGGAGUUCGG